CUGCCUUUGUUCAUCAAAUGUUAAGCUUAUUGUAUCUAUUAUGAAGUAUGACUUAUUAGAAUUAGGCUGACAAACCUGGAACCUGAAAGAUUAUUGUUGUCAAAGGUGACUGACUUCUUCCAGCAUAUGAACAAAGGGAAGGAACAGACAAGUCCAGUCAAGGACUAUUGUGACCACUACAUCUAAAUACAUCCAUAUCAACACCGCAAUAUUUAAUGAUUGAUGGACCCAUAAUUAUGCGUGUGUUAUAUUCUUCACAUAAGACCACUUCUACAUAUGGCGCUCUAGUUGGCUGCUGAUGAUGGAUAGAUGGUGCGUACACAGGAUAAAGCAGUUAGCUAAUGAAUGAUGGUCAGCCUCUACCUUCCUUCUUGUGAGAGCUACUUGUUUUAACUGUCAACAGUGAGAGUUUUGUGCUGGCUGACGUUAGCCUAAGUACAAUAGUGAUCAACACUGUGACCUGUGAUUUUAUAUUGUAACUUCUGUGUGCAUUGACUCUGUGAAAAUUCAAUCGGAAUUAUUCCACCAGCGAUUGGUAAGAAAGUCUACCAUACAGCACUUGUUUACCUAACCAGUAUAUAGUUAAGAAUUUUAUACCCCCUGCUUGAAAAGUGGGAGGGUAUAUUUAGCUAUUGAGGUUCGGAUGUCUGUUUGUACGUUCAUCUGUCUGUCUGUCUGUUUUGUAUUAUUAUCUACUCUAUACAGCCGUACAUGUAAAUUGAAAACUACACAUUUGUGCCCUGUCCUUAUUGUACUGGUAAUUGAUUUGUGCCCUCUCCUUAUUGUAUUGGUAAUUGAUCAAAUAUAUAGUUAUAAAUUUCAGAUUCUUAUACUAACACCUUGCACUGCACUGCAUGAUACAUAUUUAUAUUAUUUGACAACUGCUGACUGGACUGAACAGAUGUUGACAGAGCUGUGGUAGCUGUGGGAGAAUGCCCAUAAUAGGUACAGGU